CAGCAGCCGCGGUAAUACGUAGGUGGCAAGCGUUGCCCGGAAUUAUUGGGCGUAAAGGGCUCGCAGGCGGUUUCUUAAGCCUGAUGUGAAAGCCCCCGGCUCAACCGGGGAGGGUCAUUGGAAACUGGGAAACUUGAGUGCAGAAGAGGAGAGUGGAAUUCCACGUGUAGCGGUGAAGUGCGUAGAGAUGUGGAGGAACACCAGUGGCGAAGGCGACUCUCUGGUCUGUAACUGACGCUGAGGAGCGAAAGCGUGGGGAGCGAACAGGAUUAGAUACCCCAGUAGUCCCUGUCUCUUAUAC
rnacentral:rRNA from 1 species